CAAGGAAUUGAAAUUGGAGUAGCAAUCAUAGGAAUUGAAAAUGCAUUCAAUUUUUUUUUUUUAAAUUUAAAGAAUAAAUGCUUAUUUAAACUAGAUCAUAUCAAUUUGACUCGAAAAGAGAGAGAUCAAAUUUGAACUAGUACUCGGAUUUGAUUUUGAUUUAUAGUUGACCAAUUCAAUUCGAGUUCUGAUCUAAACCAAACCAAGGCUGGAUCUAAAAUAUUAGACCGUCUUAACAGCGGUACUACUCGUGCUUGGCAUCACAGACACUAGCUGACAAGACUAAGAGCUCUGGCCAUGUUUUAAAAUGGAUAGAUCGCAAGAGUAACAUCUACGAGACAAUUCCCAAGGGGAUGGGUUAAAUGAAAACUCUUUGAGCUUCAAAUUAGACAGAACAUUAUGGGCAAUGUGAUCACUAUUCAAUUCAUCAGCACAUUUUAUUGCAUCCUCUGUAUUUCAUGGUUUUGCCUUGUGAUCACUAUGGCAUAAGGAAAAUCAUUGCCAAUUACACGGAUUAAAAUGCAUUUUUUUUCUUUGUAAACUGGCCAUCUCAUACAGUGUAAUCCAGCAAGUGGUUUCCAAGAAAUUCCCCCCAAUAAUACAUCCAAUCACAAGUAA
rnacentral:misc_RNA from 1 species